rnacentral:rRNA from 1 species
AGGACGAACGCUGGCGGCGUGCCUAAGACAUGCAAGUCGAACGGAGCCUUCGGGCUCAGUGGCGAACGGCGGAGUAAUACAUGAGCAACGUACCCUGAAGACUGGGAUAGUCAUUGGAAACGAUGGGUAAUACCAGAUGUGACGGAGGAUCGGCAUCGAUCGUCCAUUAAAAGGUUUUUCGCUUCAGGAGCGGCUCAUGGCCUAUCAGGUAGUUGGUGAGGUAAUGGCUCACCAAGCCGACGACGGGUAGCGGGUCUGAGAGGAUGAUCCGCUCGAGUGGGACUGAGACACGGCCCACACACCUACGGGUGGCAGCAGUUGGGAAUCUUGCACAAUGGGGGAAACCCUGAUGCAGCGACGCCGCGUGGAGGACGAAGGGUCUAGGCUCGUAAACUCCUUUUAUCGGGAAAGACUUAGGACGGUACCCGAUGAAUAGCACCGGCUAACUACGUGCCAGCAGCCGC